rnacentral:rRNA from 1 species
CCUACGGGAGGCAGCAGUGGGGAAUAUUGCACAAUGGGGGAAACCCUGAUGCAGCGACGCCGCGUGAGUGAAGUAGUAAUUCGUUAUGUAAAGCACUAUCAGCAGGGAAGAAAAUGAUGGUACCUGAGUAAGAAGCCCCUGCUAACUACGUGCCAGCAGCCGCGGUAAUACGUAGGGGGCAAGCGUUAGCCGGAUUUACUGGUUGUAACGGGAGCGGAGACGGCAGUGCAAGUCUGGCGUGAAAGGCGGGGGCUCAACCCCCGGACUGCUCUGGAAACUGGACGGCUGGAGUGCAGGAGAGGUAAGUAGAAUUCCUAGUGUAGCGGUGAAAUGCGUAGAUAUUUGGAGGAACACCAGUGGCGAAGGCGGCUUACUGGACUGUAACUGACGUUGAGGCUCGAAAGCGUGGGGAGCAAACAGGAUUAGAUACCCGAGUAGUC